rnacentral:lncRNA from 1 species
GGGGGUGUUGAGCGUAAAGCUAAAGGUGUGGUCUGGUCAUGAGUUGGAGGGUUCAUCUCCUUCCAUUGGGUCUUAUAUACGUUUUCUUCUACACAGUCUGUUAUACAUCAAUGGGUUCUGAUUGGAGUGGAUGAUUAUAGACCCUGUGGGGGGGGAUUCAAAAUGUUACCCUACCAGGUCUGGACUACUGCUGUUGUUCUCCUCUACCUGGUCAUUACUGGUACCCGCCUGGUGUCCCAGGUCUAAAUCAGGCCCUGAUUAGAGGGGGAACAAUGACUGGUGUCCCAGGUCUAAAUCAGCCCCUGGUGUCCCAGGUCUAAAUCAGUCCCUGAUUAGAGGGGAACAAUGACUGGUGUCUCAGGUCUAAAUCAGCCCCUGGUGUCCCAGGUCUAAAUCAGGCCCUGAUUCGAGGGGGAACAAUGACUGGUGUCUCAGGUCUAAAUCAGCCCCUGGUGUCCCAGGUCUAAAUCAGGCCCUGAUUCGAGGGGGAACAAUGACUGGUGUCCCAGGUCUAAAUCAGCCCCUGGUGUCCCAGGUCUAAAUCAGGCCCUGAUUAGAGGGGGAACAAUGACUGGUGUCCCAGGUCUAAAUCAGCCCCUGGUGUCCCAGGUCUAAAUCAGUCCCUGAUUAGAGGGGAACAAUGACUGGUGUCCCAGGUCUAAAUCAGGCCCUGAUUCGAGGGGAACAAUGACUGGUGUCCCAGGUCUAAAUCAGCCCCUGGUGUCCCAGAUCUAAAUCAGCCCCUG